UUACUUACCUGGCAGGGGAGAUACUAUGAUCAUGAAGAUGGUUUUCCAGGGCCAGGCUUAUCUAUUGCACUUCAGAUGUGCUGACCCCUGCCUGACAUUUCCCCAAAUGUGGGAAAUUCGACUGUAUAAUUUGUGGUAGUGGGGGACUGUGUUAGUUCUCUCCACUG